UUCGGAUUGUAGGCUGCAACUCGCCUACAUGAAGUCGGAGUUGCUAGUAAUCGCGGAUCAGAAUGCCGCGGUGAAUGCGUUCCCGGGUCUUGUACACACCGCCCGUCACACCAUGGAAGUUGGGGGCGCCCGAAGUUGCCUAAGAAAUAAGGUACCUAAGGCGAAACCAAUGACUGGGGUGAAGUCGUAACAAGGUAGC
rnacentral:rRNA from 1 species